GGAGAGGUGGCAGAGUGGUUGAAUGCGACGGUCUCGAAAACCGUUAUAGUGAAAGCUAUCGGGGGUUCGAAUCCCCCCCUCUCCG
rnacentral:tRNA from 1 species